UACGUAGGGUGCAAGCGUUAAUCGGAAUUACUGGGCGUAAAGCGUGCGCAGGCGGUUCUAUAAGACAGAUGUGAAAUCCCCGGGCUCAACCUGGGAACUGCAUUUGUGACUGUAGAGCUGGAGUACGGCAGAGGGGGAUGGAAUUCCGCGUGUAGCAGUGAAAUGCGUAGAUAUGCGGAGGAACACCGAUGGCGAAGGCAAUCCCCUGGGCCUGUACUGACGCUGAGGAGCGAAAGCGUGGGAGCAAACAGG
rnacentral:rRNA from 1 species